rnacentral:rRNA from 1 species
UACGUAGGUGGCAAGCGUUAUCCGGAUUUACUGGGUGUAAAGGGUGAGUAGGCGGGUCUGCAAGUCAGGUGUGAAAUACUGCGGCUCAACCGCAGAAUUGCAUUUGAAACUACGGAUCUUGAGUGUCGGAGAGGUAAUUGGAAUUCCCAGUGUAGCGGUGAAAUGCGUAGAGAUUGGGAGGAACACCAGUGGCGAAGGCGGAUUACUGGACGACAACUGACGCUGAUACACGAAAGCGUGGGGAGCAAACAGGAUUAGAUACC